rnacentral:tRNA from 1 species
GCUGGGGUUGUGGCUUAAUGGUAGAGUGCUUACCUAGCAUGUGUGAGGCAUUGGGUUCAAUCCUCAGCACGGCA